UAAAAAACGGUGAAAAGAUGAGUAAUUAAGUUAGUACUUAUACAGAGAGCCUCAGUGCUGAGAAGAGGCUAAGGAACACUUAGUGAAGUAUGGUCUUGGAGGAUUUAGCUGGUGAAGUCUUGAGCCAGCUAGGGUUCUUACCCCUUAGCGUAAGCACUAAUUUUAGUGAUUGAGGUCUUUAAUGUAAAUUAAAGAUAAAUCAAGGUGGUAACACGGCUAGCCCCGUCCUUGAC
rnacentral:ncRNA from 1 species